rnacentral:pre_miRNA from 1 species
GCGGUGGCUCCAAAGUGCUGUUCGUGCAGGUAGUGUGUGCAGCCAUCUACUGCCGGGCAGCACUUCCCGAGCCCCCGC